UACGUAGGGGGCGAGCGUUGUCCGGAAUUAUUGGGCGUAAAGAGCGUGUAGGCGGUUCGGUAAGUCUGCCGUGAAAACCUGGGGCUCAACCCCAGGCGUGCGGUGGAUACUGCCGGGCUAGAGGGUGGUAGAGGCGAGUGGAAUUCCCGGUGUAGCGGUGAAAUGCGCAGAUAUCGGGAGGAACACCGGUGGCGAAGGCGGUUCUCUGGGACGGUACUGACGCUGAGACGCGAAAGCGUGGGGAGCGAACAGG
rnacentral:rRNA from 1 species